CAUGAAGCAUUCUGGAAGUCCUUGUGGAUGUCUUUAGGAGAUGUGAGGAAAAAUACAGAGACUGCUGCCGCCAAAUGCCGUCUCACACACGGAAGGCAGGCUCAUAAAAAUAUUACGACGAGAAUAUAGUCUCAGGGAGGAAAGAUGACCUUACCAAGGCAGAGCUGGGGUUUACGUGGUUAAAGAAGACCAAAAAAUAAACAAAAC
rnacentral:lncRNA from 1 species